GACGAUUGCUGGCGGCGUGCUUAACACAUGCAAGUCGAACGGUAAGGCUCCAGCUUGCUGGGGUACACGAGUGGCGAACGGGUGAGUAACACGUGGGUGACCUGCCCUGCACUUCGGGAUAAGCCUGGGAAACUGGGUCUAAUACCGGAUAGGACCGCACCGUGAGGGUGUGGUGGAAAGUCUUUUCGGUGUGGGAUGGGCCCGCGGCCUAUCAGCUUGUUGGUGGGGUAAUGGCCUACCAAGGCGGCGACGGGUAGCCGGCCUGAGAGGGUGGACGGACACAUUGGGACUGAGACACGGCCCAGACUCCUACGGGAGGCAGCAGUGGGGAAUAUUGCACAAUGGGCGGAAGCCUGAUGCAGCGACGCCGCGUGGGGGAUGACGGCCUUCGGGUUGUAAACUCCUUUCACCAUCGACGAAGGGUUUCUGACGGUAGAUGGAGAAGAAGCACCGGCUAACUACGUGCCAGCAGCCGCGGUAAUACGUAGGGUGCGAGCGUUGUCCGGAAUUACUGGGCGUAAAGAGCUCGUAGGUGGUUUGUCGCGUCGUCUGUGAAAUUCCGGGGCUUAACUCCGGGCGUGCAGGCGAUACGGGCAUAACUUGAGUACUGUAGGGGAGACUGGAAUUCCUGGUGUAGCGGUGAAAUGCGCAGAUAUCAGGAGGAACACCGGUGGCGAAGGCGGGUCUCUGGGCAGUAACUGACGCUGAGGAGCGAAAGCAUGGGGAGCGAACAGGAUUAGAUACCCUGGUAGUCCAUGCCGUAAACGGUGGGCGCUAGGUGUGGGUUUCCUUCCACGGGAUCCGUGCCGUAGCUAACGCAUUAAGCGCCCCGCCUGGGGAGUACGGCCGCAAGGCUAAAACUCAAAGGAAUUGACGGGGGCCCGCACAAGCGGCGGAGCAUGUGGAUUAAUUCGAUGCAACGCGAAGAACCUUACCUGGGCUUGACAUAUACAGGAUCGCGCCAGAGAUGGUGUUUCCCUUGUGGCUUGUAUACAGGUGGUGCAUGGUUGUCGUCAGCUCGUGUCGUGAGAUGUUGGGUUAAGUCCCGCAACGAGCGCAACCCUUGUCUUAUGUUGCCAGCACGUUGUGGUGGGGACUCGUAAGAAACUGCCGGGGUUAACUCGGAGGAAGGUGGGGAUGACGUCAAAUCAUCAUGCCCCUUAUGUCCAGGGCUUCACACAUGCUACAAUGGUCGGUACAGUGGGUUGCCAGUCCGUGAGGGCGAGCUAAUCCCGCAAAGCCGGUCUCAGUUCGGAUCGGGGUCUGCAACUCGACCCCGUGAAGUCGGAGUCGCUAGUAAUCGCAGAUCAGCAACGCUGCGGUGAAUACGUUCCCGGGCCU
rnacentral:rRNA from 1 species